GUGAUGUUGCUCUGAGUGCAUAUCCACACCGGGCGAGCUUGAAAAAUAUGCCCGGCCACGGUGGGAUUCGAACCUACGACCUUUGGAAUACUAGCCCAAUGCUCUUCCAACUGAGCUACGCGGUCAGGACGGUUCGAGUAAGUGAUAUUUCGGAACAGUAUCUAGUUUCUUCAAUACCAAUGUGUUCUUGUAAUAUGAAUUUUUUUUUUUUUUCUUUUUUCUUUUUUUUCUGGGCUGGUGUUGUGUACUCAGGUAAAUAAUAUGUUUGUGAUGUUACUCUGAGUGCAUAUCCACACCGGGCGAGCUUGAAAAAUAUGCCCGGCCACGGUGGGAUUCGAACCUACGACCUUUGGAAUACUAGCCCAAUGCUCUUCCAACUGAGCUACGCGGUCAGGACGGUUCGAGUAAGUGAUAUUUCGGAACAGUAUCUAGUUUCUUCAAUACCAAUGUGUUCUUGCAAUAUGAAUUUUUUUUUUCUUUUUUAUUUUUUUUCUGGGCUGGUGUUGUGUACACAGGUGAAUAAUAUGUUUGUGAUGUUACUCAGAGUAACAUCACAAACAUAAGUCUGAUAAUAUCAACAAGGUUGUUACAACUGUUAACAAGUUAAGUUGUUCCAAGGCCUAACAGAAAUUAUCUUGUGGCUUCUCUACCGACCGUAUGAUGGUUUGUUGGUGUGUUUGGGUUGUUUUUGCUUUGCUAUAAUCGACCCUUUUAUUUCCGUUGCUCGCUUUGUGGCAUACCUGUUGGGUACAGUUAUUGCUUCUUGAAAAGUUUAUGUGUUAUGGCAAUAUGCCAACUGAUCACACUCAUUGCCAUUGUUGAUCAUGAAACCGGAACCAGAAGAUAUUUUUGUUGGGUUUUAUACGGUCUGGUAUUUUUGUACGGUCUGGUAUUAGGAACCUUAAGCAAACAGGACGGCAACGUGACGACGAUGGCUAUUCACACAAUGAUAUUCCUGAUCUCGUACAAAAGAAAUGAAUAAUUAAAAGCCCCGCGGGAGUUAGAGACGUUGUGUUAGGGCUUUUUACAACGGCAAACCAGAGAUUUUCACGUCUUGUGUACAACACAAACAUCCAGGUGAUCUCGUGUUCGUACUUUAGCCAAUCAGCGCUCAGAAAGGGUUGUCCGAAUAGAAAUCCAUUUUGAUGUAUUCAGUCAAUUAUAUCUUUCGUUAUUCUUUAUGAAACUAGUUGAAAUUUUGUAAUUAUGUCUGGUUAUGAGAACUCUAGUUCUGACAAAAAUAUGGAAUCGAAAUAAAGUAUAUUACAGGAGAUAUUCAGUUGUUUUAAUCAUAAAAUGGAUUUCUAUUUGACAACUAGUGCCAGUACUUUUCCGCGUAUCAAGAUCAUCUGGAUGUCAAGACGCGACAAGUGAAACUACAUAUUUGCUCAGCAGAAGCGUUUUUAACCGUAAAGCAUUUGUUUUAAUCUCUUCAAACUGAACUUAAUUCUUACAUACAUGCAGUGGAUAAUACACAACAACUCUUCUUCGCAAUAAUGGCCAACUUGCAUGUUAGACCAAAUUUUAAUCUAAGCAGAGAAAAGGGAAUCAAACACCACAGCUAAAAGGAACAUACUGAAAUUAGUAAAAGUGGAAAAUUUGGCUGCGAAAUGUUGUAAAGCUUGGAAAAUAUAACUUUGCAAAGUUUGCAUAUUUUCAGUAUAUUUGUAUUACGAGCGGAAAUUGUUACCAUUUUCGGCUCAAAAAUGGUAACAAU